rnacentral:rRNA from 1 species
GACGAACGCUGGCGGCGUGCUUAACACAUGCAAGUCGAACGAUGAAGCUAGAGCUUGCUCUGGUGAAUUAGUGGCGAACGGGUGAGUAACACGUGAGUAACCUGCCCCGAACUCUGGGAUAACUGCUGGGAACGGUAGCUAAUACUGGAUACGACCUACGAAGGCAUCUUCUGUAGGUGGAAAGAAUUUCGGUUCGGGAUGGACUCGCGGCCUAUCAGCUUGUUGGUGAGGUGAUGGCUCACCAAGGCGACGACGGGUAGCCGGCCUGAGAGGGUGACCGGCCACACUGGGACUGAGACACGGCCCAGACUCCUACGGGAGGCAGCAGUGGGGAAUAUUGCACAAUGGGCGCAAGCCUGAUGCAGCAACGCCGCGUGAGGGAUGACGGCCUUCGGGUUGUAAACCUCUUUUAGUAGGGAAGAAGCGAAAGUGACGGUACCUGCAGAAAAAGCACCGGCUAACUACGUGCCAGCCGCCGCAGUAAUAC